rnacentral:rRNA from 1 species
UAAGGAAUAUUGCUCAAUGGGAGAAAUCCUGAAGCAGCAACGCCGCGUGGAGGAUGAAGGGUCUAUGACUUGUAAACUCCUGUAAAGAAGGAAAAAAUUCCCAUUUGAUGGGAGAUGAUGGUACUUCUGGAGUAAGCCCCGGCUAACUACGUGCCAGCAGCCGCGGUAAUACGUAGGGGGCAAGCGUUGUCCGGAUUUACUGGGUGUAAAGGGUGCUCAGGCGGAUUUGUAAGUCAGAGGUGAAAUCUUACAGCUUAACUGUGAAACUGCCUUUGAUACUGCAAGCCUAGAGUAUGGAAGAGNGUGAUGGAAUAUCUGGUGUAGCAGUGAAAUGCGUAGAUAUCAGAUAGAACACCAAUGGCGAAGGCAGUCACUAGGUCCAUUACUGACGCUAAAGCACGAAAGCGUGGGUAGCAAACA